AGUGAACGCUGGCGGUAGGCCUAACACAUGCAAGUCGAACGGCAGCACAGUAAGAGCUUGCUCUUACGGGUGGCGAGUGGCGGACGGGUGAGGAAUACAUCGGAAUCUACUUUUUCGUGGGGGAUAACGUAGGGAAACUUACGCUAAUACCGCAUACGACCUACGGGUGAAAGCAGGGGAUCUUCGGACCUUGCGCGAUUGAAUGAGCCGAUGUCGGAUUAGCUAGUUGGCGGGGUAAAGGCCCACCAAGGCGACGAUCCGUAGCUGGUCUGAGAGGAUGAUCAGCCACACUGGAACUGAGACACGGUCCAGACUCCUACGGGAGGCAGCAGUGGGGAAUAGUGGACAAUGGGCGCAAGCCUGAUCAAGCCAUACCGCGUGGGUGAAGAAGGCCUUCGGGUUGUAAAGCCCUUUUGUUGGGAAAGAAAAGCAGCAGGUUAAUACCCCGCUGUUCUGACGGUACCCAAAGAAUAAGCACCGGCUAACUUCGUG
rnacentral:rRNA from 1 species